CUCCGUUUAUAUGGCAUUUGCUGUGCUUUGGAAUAAAAGAGCUUAUUCGAGUUUUGGUUCUCCGCACAUCAGCUGAGUUCGCACAUCGAGACGUGACCGGACUUGAUAUCAACUGAACAGACAUGUGUGUUUGUGUGUGUGUGGUUUUUCCAAUGAUGGGCGGGGCUUUGUGUGGGGGCGGAGCUUGAGUGAUGAAGAGCAGAGAAAGUGCAUUUUGUGCGAACGAGUUCAGUGCAGAUGAUCAAAGUACGAGGAGUGUACUGGGGUGUUUUGAAGGACAAAGGGCGACGCAGAAUUCGAUGCAAUCAAUAAACCAGAGAAAGUCGAGAGACUAAGUGGUGGAACAUGUACGGGAGGUUUUGGUUUUGUUUGCUAUUGCUGUUCUGCACUUCUGCCUUGCACGCUGAAGAAGACGAAGUAAGGACGGAAGAAAAAAGCCAAGAAAUAUUUGAAACUGGGGAUCUGAGAGAAGAGCAGUGGGGUCAGCGAGGAGGAGACAACCGGGAGACUGAAGAUGCUGAUCCGAGUGAUGUGUCGGACGAAGAAUCUGAGAUUGAGAGCCAAGUCGAACGGACGCCUGAUGAGGGUGAUGGAGAGAUUGAGAGGAAAGUGACAGCUGGGCGCAAAGCGAAGCCAAAAAAGCCAAAAGCGAAUAAAAAGAAGAAGAAAUUGCAGAGAGUGAAACUUGGACAGAAGAAGACUGUUCAGGGAGGGGAAGGGGUUGUGAGGUUGGAAGUGGAGAUGGAUAGAACGAAUCGCAGCGAUGGGAAAAUAGGGACAGACACAGAGGGUGGAGAAGAACGAGAUGACUCCGGUCAUGUUGAAGAGGAUGAACACGAAGAGCGACCAAAAAAGAAAGUGAAGAAAGGAGGAAAAAAAGAAAAGAAAAAGAAGGCCAAUAAAAAGGAUGAGAAGGAAGACUAUGAACUUGAAGAGACAGAGAGAAUUGAGGAACCAGAGAGUCAAGGUGAGAGGGGGUAAGAAUGAAGAGGGGGGGGGGG
rnacentral:lncRNA from 1 species